rnacentral:rRNA from 1 species
UACAGAGGUCUCAAGCGUUGUUCGGAUUCAUUGGGCGUAAAGGGUGCGUAGGCGGCGCGGUAAGUCGGGUGUGAAAUCUCGGAGCUUAACUCCGAAACUGCAUUCGAUACUGCCGUGCUUGAGGACUGGAGAGGAGACUGGAAUUUACGGUGUAGCGGUGAAAUGCGUAGAGAUCGUAAGGAAGACCAGUGGCGAAGGCGAGUUUCUGGACAGGUACUGACGCUGAGGCACGAAGGCCAGGGGAGCAAACGGG